rnacentral:rRNA from 1 species
GGCGAAAGGGAGAGUAACGCGUGGUUACAUGCCCUCGGGACCGGGAUAGCGGCGGGAAACUGCCGGUAAUACCGGAUAAUAUCUUUGGAUCAAAGGUGUGAUUCCGCCCGAGGAUUGGACCGCGUUCUAUUAGCUUGUUGGCGGGGUAAUGGCCCACCAAGGCGACGAUGGAUACCGGGUGUGAGAGCAUGGCCCGGCUCACUGGGACUGAGACACUGCCCAGACACCUACGGGUGGCUGCAGUCGAGAAUCUUCGGCAAUGGGGGCAACCCUGACCGAGCGACGCCGCGUGCGGGACGAAGGCCUUCGGGUUGUAAACCGCUGUCAGUUGGGAGGAAGUGCCGGGGGGUUCUCCCCUCGGUUUGACCGAUCUUCAGAGGAAGGACGGGCUAAGUUCGUGCCAGCAGCCGCGGUAAGACGAACCGUCCAAACGUUAUUCGGUAUCACUGGGCUUAAAGCGUGCGUAGGCGGCCUGGUAGGUGAGGUGUGAAAGCCCACGGCUCAACCGUGGAAUUGCGCUUCAAACCACCAGGCUGGAGGAUGGCAGGGGUGAUGGGAACUGAUGGUGGAGCGGUGAAAUGCGUUGAUAUCAUCAGGAACACCGGUGGCGAAGGCGCAUCACUGGGCCAUUUCUGACGCUGAGGCACGAAAGCUAGGGUAGCGAACGGGAUUAGAUACCCCGGUAGUCCUAGCUGUAAACGAUGAGCACUGGGUUGAGGGGACCUCCACAUCUUCUCGGCC